UCCGCCAAGUAUCCGCCCACUGUUAAUUGCUGCCUUUUCUUGUCUGUUUUUCUUGGAGGAGUUGGAGUUGGAGUUGAUAGAGUUACACAGUGGUGAGGUAAGAGAAGAGUGAAAAAGCAUGCUCAGCGUGCUACGUGUGCACCUCCCGUCGGAUAUCCCCAUUGUAGGCUGUGAGUUAACGCCGUACGUCCUCUUACGGCGACCUGACAAGACCGUCACAACCGACGAUGUCCUUGAGUCGGCCCCUCUCGACGGCCAUUUCUUGAGAUAUAAGUGGUAUCGUAUACAAAGUGAUAGAAAAGUUGCUGUAUGGGGGCCGACAGUGUACAUCCAUCUGAGCUAGCCACAUUGCAGUGCCUAGGUUGUGUGAAGGCCAAAAUACCUGUUGCCAAAAGUUACCAUUGCUCUCCCAAGUGCUUCUCUGAUGCAUGGCAGCAUCACCGUGUUCUACAUGACCGUGCUGCAAGUGCUGUAAAUGAAAAUGGAAAUGAGGAGGAAGAGUUAUUUGGGCGUUUCAAUAAUUCUGGAUCUGGAGUUAUUAAUACUAGUUUGUCUGGUUCUGCGUCAAGUGCUAGCUUGGCUAAUGGUUCUGCACCUUUAUAUCCUGCAGCAGUUACACAAAGAAAUGGUGGUGAAACAUGGUUUGAAGUUGGACGGUCUAAAACAUAUACUCCAUCAGCUGAUGAUAUAGGCCAUGUUCUAAAGUUUGAAUGCGUUGUGGUAGAUGUUGAAACUAAAUCUCCUGUAGGACAUGCCAACACCAUUCUAACUUCUCGUGUGAUUCCUGCUCCUUCACCUACUCCACGUCGCUUGAUC
rnacentral:misc_RNA from 1 species